UCACAGGAGCCACACUAACUCAAUCU
rnacentral:piRNA from 1 species